rnacentral:rRNA from 1 species
AUCAUGGCUCAGAUUGAACGCUGGCGGCAUGCCUUACACAUGCAAGUACGAACGGCAGCACGGGGGCAACCUGGUGGCGAGUGGCGAACGGGUGAGUAAUGCAUCGGAACGUGCCAUUGAGUGGGGGUAACGUAGCGAAAGUUACGCUAAUACCGCAUAUUCUGUGAGCAGGAAAGCAGGGGAUCGCAAGACCUUGCGCUCUUUGAGCGGCCGAUGUCAGAUUAGCUAGUUGGUGAGGUAACGGCUUACCAAGGCGACGAUCUGUAGCGGGUCUGAGAGGAUGAUCCGCCACACUGGAACUGAGACACGGUCCAGACUCCUACGGGAGGCAGCAGUGGGGAAUUUUUGGACAAUGGGGGCAACCCUGAUCCAGCCAUGCCGCGUGAGUGAAGAAGGCCUUCGGGUUGUAAAGCUCUUUCGGCCGGGAAGAAAUCGCAUGGGUUAAUACCCUGUGUGGAUGACGGUACCGGCAUAAGAAGCACCGGCUAACUACGUG